GAUGAACGCUGGCGGCGUGCCUAAUACAUGCAAGUCGAGCGAACGGACGAGAAGCUUGCUUCUCUGCUGUUAGCGGCGGACGGGUGAGUAACACGUGGAUAACCUACCUAUAAGACUGGGAUAACUUCGGGAAACCGGAGCUAAUACCGGAUAAUAUUUUGAACCGCAUGGUUCAAAAGUGAAAGACGGUCUUGCUGUCACUUAUAGAUGGAUCCGCGCUGCAUUAGCUAGUUGGUAAGGUAACGGCUUACCAAGGCAACGAUGCAUAGCCGACCUGAGAGGAUGAUCGGCCACACUGGAACUGAGACACGGUCCAGACUCCUACGGGAGGCAGCAGUAGGGAAUCUUCCGCAAUGGGCGAAAGCCUGACGGAGCAACGCCGCGUGAGUGAUGAAGGUCUUCGGAUCGUAAAACUCUGUUAUUAGGGAAGAACAGAUGUGUAAGUAACUGUGCACAUCUUGACGGUACCUAAUCAGAAAGCCACGGCUAACUACGUG
rnacentral:rRNA from 1 species